rnacentral:lncRNA from 1 species
UGAAGUUUCAUAUGAGGUCAUAAUAUGUAAGCAAUCCUCAUAUUUAGCUUCAUUUCUGAACUGGAUUGGUAGCUGAAAUACUUGUUUUUUUCUCUCAUCUGUCUGGAAAAUGGGUGAGGUUUGUGGUCUGGUGUUAUCGAUUUUAACCAUGAAAAAUCUUUAAAAUCACUAAGAACUCUGCUCAACUAUAUGAAAACAACAAAGGUUAUAAUAACAUGAUAUCUUCAGGAAAUACACAUGUAUUAAGAUGUCGGAAACUUUCCUUAAGAAAAACAAGUCAGGUUCACUUUGUCAAAUUUCAAAUCCAUUUUCAUUUUCAAUUUUCU